GAUAAAAAAAAAAUUUGUGAUAUUGUAAUUUAUUUAAAUUGGGUACUCUACUUUUGGUUUACUCUGCCAGCCACUGAUACAGUAAAAUGGGCUAAAGCCUAAAUGCCAUCUGAAAGAGAUAUUCAACAAGAAGCAAAACCUUAUCCUAUCAGCCACCACACAAUCGCUUCAAUACUAACAGAAGCUUCCCUUAUUUCCCACCUCACAAAAGCCAUGGCAACCCUUUGUUUCACUUCAUCUCCGUCCUUUACUCUCGCCAAACAACUGUUACCCACCAAACUUCCUUCCCUUAAACUCAACUACGGAACAGGCAGAUCCCUGAAGACUAUAGUUAGGUCUUACAAAGUGGUGAUUGAACAUGAGGGUCAAUCCACAGAGCUGGAGGUUGAACCUGAUGAGACCAUACUAUCCAAGGCACUGGACUCUGGACUGUCGGUGCCUUAUGACUGCAUGCUUGGGGUAUGCAUGACUUGCCCAGCUAAGCUAAUAAGCGGCACAGUUGACCAGAGUGAAGGUAUGCUUAGUGAUGAUGUGGUGGAGCGUGGGUAUACACUGUUGUGUGCAUCGUAUCCAACGUCAGAUUGUCGGAUUAGGACCAUUCCUGAAGAUGAGCUGCUGUCCUUGCAACUAGCAACAGCUAAUGACUGAAAUCUGUGCGCUUGAUUGAUAUUUCAGUUAAAAGUUUUGAUAUUGAACACUAAAUUCGAGCACAGUAUUUCUCAUGGGUAUGUUAUGGUGGAAAUGUUGAAUAGAUUUGUUUCUUAUCCAUUGUGUGUGCUAUCUGUUGGGGGUAUAAAGAAAGAUGAAAAUAAAAGCACUUUCUGUCAUCUGAUUGAAUGCGAAUAUGGCUUAAUCCGGUUAAGUCAGCCUAAUACAUGGCAGAUAAUGGGCAUGAUUCAUAAAUAUAUUUUAUAUUAGAUGAAAUUAAA
rnacentral:misc_RNA from 1 species